rnacentral:tRNA from 1 species
GAGGGUGAAGUAUUUAAGUACAUCUCAGUUACAUUGAGAAGGACCAAUUAUCUGGCAUUCUUU